UAACAAGGAUUCCCCUAGUAACUGCGAGUGAAGCGGGAAGAGCUCAAAUUUUAAAUCUGGCGGCCUCUGGUCGUCCGAGUUGUAAUCUGGAGAGGUGUUUUCCGCGUCGGACCGUGUACAAGUCUCCUGGAACGGAGCGUCAUAGAGGGUGAGAAUCCCGUCCAUGACACGGACCGCCGAUGCUUUGUGAUACGCCUUCGAAGAGUCGAGUUGUUUGGGAAUGCAGCUCAAAAUGGGUGGUAAAUUCCAUCUAAAGCUAAAUAUUGGCGAGAGACCGAUAGCGAACAAGUACCGUGAGGGAAAGAUGAAAAGCACUUUGGAAAGAGAGUUAAACAGUACGUGAAAUUGUUGAAAGGGAAACGCUUGAAGUCAGUCGCGUCCCGUAGAACUCAGCCUGGCUUAGGCCUGGUGUACUUUCUAUGUGGACGGGUCAACAUCAAUUUUGGCCGAUGGAGAAAGGCGAUGGGAAUGUAGCGUUGUUUCGGCGACGUGUUAUAGCCCUUUGCUGUAUACAUUGGCUGGGAUUGAGGACCGCAGCACGCCCUUGUGGCCGGGGGUUUGCCCCACGUAGUGUGCUUAGGAUGUUGGCAUAAUGGCUUUAAGCGACCCGUCUUGAAACACGGACCAAGGAGUCUAACAUGCUUGCGAGUGUUCGGGUGGAAAACCCUUGUGCGUAAUGAAAGUGAAAGUUGGGAACCUCCGCAAGGGGGUGCACCGACGCCCGGCCCUGAAGUUCUCUGACGGUGCUGCGGUAGAGCAAGUAUGUUGGGACCCGAAAGAUGGUGAACUAUGCCUGAAUAGGGCGAAGCCAGAGGAAACUCUGGUGGAGGCUCGUAGCGAUUCUGACGUGCAAAUCGAUCGUCAAAUUUGGG
rnacentral:rRNA from 1 species